rnacentral:rRNA from 1 species
UACGUAGGGUGCGAGCGUUAAUCGGAAUUACUGGGCGUAAAGCGUGCGCAGGCGGUUUCGUAAGACAGAUGUGAAAUCCCCGGGCUCAACCUGGGAACUGCAUUUGUGACUGCGAGGCUAGAGUAUGGCAGAGGGGGGUGGAAUUCCACGUGUAGCAGUGAAAUGCGUAGAGAUGUGGAGGAACACCGAUGGCGAAGGCAGCCCCCUGGGCCAAUACUGACGCUCAUGCACGAAAGCGUGGGGAGCAAACAGGAUUAGAUACCCUGGUAGUCCACGCCCUAAACGAUGUCAACUAGGUGUUGGGUGGGUUAAACCAUUUAGUACCGUAGCUAACGCGUGAAGUUGACCGCCUGGGGAGUACGGCCGCAAGGUUAAA